ACCACGAGUCAUGAGGUGGGAACGUUACCUCUAGACUACGGAGGCCGCUUUAACAGAUAUAACUUAACUUGUUUAAAAUUACGAGAACAAAAAUAUACUACUGCUAACACAGGAACAACUUCCAAGCGCUACCAACCAGCCCCGUGAAACUCCCAUGCUAUUGGCUGGCAACAUGGCCGCCAUGACCGCCAUGACCGACCUGAGUUGUAACCCCCGAGACGAAAGAGACCGAUACAGGUGUUUCUUAAUGGUGUGAGAUAUGAACUCCGAGGGUAUGAGGCAUGUACAGGCUAAGCUCGCUGCUUCGUUACAUCUGAAUGCACUGUUCUUCGUGUUCGUCCGUUGUUUGUGGUACGUCUGUGGUACUGUGGGACCGGUUUUGAUGUGAAAGAAAGAAUGAUUAUGUGGAGCAAGGGGAAUGAAAAUUCUAAAGAAGACUGCAUUUUUUGGGAUGUUGCUUGGAUGAGAAAUUAUAAUAACUUCUGUUUUGUACAAGCUACAGAGCUCAUUCGGGGCUUGUAAUCAAGCAUGUGUUAAAUUAUAUAUUCAUCCAGUGGAUCUUCUUGGAUCUGCUUUCUUUAGAACUUCACAAAAAGAAUGCUCAGCAUGUUUGGCGGUUGAGAAUAGAAUGGUGACAAACCAUGAGGAUGGAAAGAGCUGAGUGUUACUUCCACUGAGUUCUCAAUUACUGUCAUGUAUUGUUGUAGCUGUUGAAUGUCUUAUAAAUAAAGAGUUCUUCUCCCAUGACUUUAGUUCAGUAACAGACCCAAAGUUCAUGUUUAGUGUGUUGGUUUGUUGCUAUAUGAAGAGUUAUCUUGGAAUCAUUAUUUGGUCCGUGUAGUGUUCCUGCAGGCUUGUCCCUUUAUGGUUGUCCGUAGGUCUUCACAUGCAGUCUUGCCAUGAGCAGUGACUAUGAAAUGUCAUUCGGUGGUAGGAUCCCCAAAAUCUUCUUCCUGUAGUUAAAUUUAAGAAGUUUAACAAUCGGGUAGUCUGCAGAUCCCUAUAGUUCACCAUUUGCUCUUGUUUUUCUACAUGACUAAAAUGGAUGUGUCUCUGAUCCAAUAAUAAUGACUCCAGUGACACCCUCCAUCCAUACACCUCACUCACCAAUCCUGUAGAACAUAGAGUAUAGUUGAUAGUUUCUUGUCCCCUGUCAGUGAGGGAGGAAGGCUCUUUUCCUUGAUACAGUAACUCUGAAGGGAAAGUAUCCAGGUACUCCAGCAAUGCCGUACCAACAUCUGAACAACUACACAUGAACUCUGAAUCGAAAGUAUCCAGGUACUCCUGCAAUGCCGUACCAACAUUUGAACAACUACACAUGAACUCUGAAUCGAAGGUAUCCAGGUACUCCUGCAAUGCUGUACCAACAUUUGAACAGCUACACAUGACAUGGUAAAAGUUAGCUUCACAUCCCUGUACCAUCAACC